rnacentral:rRNA from 1 species
UACGUAGGUGGCAAGCGUUGUCCGGAAUUAUUGGGCGUAAAGCGCGCGCAGGCGGUCCUUUAAGUCUGAUGUGAAAGCCCACGGCUCAACCGUGGAGGGUCAUUGGAAACUGGGGGACUUGAGUGCAGAAGAGGAAAGCGGAAUUCCACGUGCAGCGGUGAAAUGCGUAGAUAUCUGGAGGAACACCGGUGGCGAAGGCGGCAUUCUGGACCGAUAUUGACGCUGAUGAGCGAAAGCCAGGGGAGCAAACGGG